rnacentral:rRNA from 1 species
UACGUAGGGUGCGAGCGUUGCCCGGAAUUAUUGGGCGUAAAGAGCUCGUAGGCGGUGUGUCACGUCGGCCGUGAAAACCUGCAGCUUAACUGUGGGCGUGCGGUCGAUACGGGCAUCACUGGAGUUCGGCAGGGGAGACUGGAAUUCCUGGUGUAGCGGUGAAAUGCGCAGAUAUCAGGAGGAACACCGGUGGCGAAGGCGGGUCUCUGGGCCGAUACUGACGCUGAGGAGCGAAAGCGUGGGGAGCAAACAG